UGAUUUACAUUUGAGUGAGUGGCGAACUGGUGAGUAACACGUGGGAAACCUGCCCAGAAGCGGGGGAUAACACCUGGAAACAGAUGCUAAUACCGCAUAACAACUUGGACCGCAUGGUCCGAGCUUGAAAGAUGGCUUCGGCUAUCACUUUUGGAUGGUCCCGCGGCGUAUUAGCUAGAUGGUGGGGUAACGGCUCACCAUGGCAAUGAUACGUAGCCGACCUGAGAGGGUAAUCGGCCACAUUGGGACUGAGACACGGCCCAAACUCCUACGGGAGGCAGCAGUAGGGAAUCUUCCACAAUGGACGAAAGUCUGAUGGAGCAACGCCGCGUGAGUGAAGAAGGGUUUCGGCUCGUAAAACUCUGUUGUUAAAGAAGAACAUAUCUGAGAGUAACUGUUCAGGUAUUGACGGUAUUUAACCAGAAAGCCACGGCUAACUACGUGCCAGCAGCCGCGGUAAUACGUAGGUGGCAAGCGUUGUCCGGAUUUAUUGGGCGUAAAGCGAGCGCAGGCGGUUUUUUAAGUCUGAUGUGAAAGCCUUCGGCUCAACCGAAGAAGUGCAUCGGAAACUGGGAAACUUGAGUGCAGAAGAGGACAGUGGAACUCCAUGUGUAGCGGUGAAAUGCGUAGAUAUAUGGAAGAACACCAGUGGCGAAGGCGGCUGUCUGGUCUGUAACUGACGCUGAGGCUCGAAAGUAU
rnacentral:rRNA from 1 species